rnacentral:tRNA from 1 species
GGGCAAUUGGCUGAGAGGCCGAAAGCAGCGGGUUGCUAACCCGUAGGGCGGUAACGCCCCGCAGGUUCGAAUCCUGCAUUGCCCGCCA